rnacentral:rRNA from 1 species
GUGGGCGCUGGAGAACUGAGGGGGGCUGCUCCUAGUACGAGAGGACCGGAGUGGACGCAUCACUGGUGUUCGGGUUGUCAUGCCAAUGGCACUGCCCGGUAGCUAAAUGCGGAAAGAGAUAAGUGCUGAAAGCAUCUAAGCACGAAACUUGCCCCGAGAUGAGUUCUCCCUGAGACUUUAGGUCUCCUGAAGGAACGUUGAAGACGACGACGUUGAUAGGCCGGGUGUGUAAGCGCAGCGAUGCGUUGAGCUAACCGGUACUAAUGAACCGUGAGGCUUAACCUUAC